rnacentral:rRNA from 1 species
UGGGGAAUAUUGCACAAUGGGCGCAAGCCUGAUGCAGCCAUGCCGCGUGUGUGAAGAAGGCCUUCGGGUUGUAAAGCACUUUCAGCGAGGAGGAAGGUGGUGAGCUUAAUACGCUCAUCAAUUGACGUUACUCGCAGAAGAAGCACCGGCUAACUCCGUGCCAGCAGCCGCGGUAAUACGGAGGGUGCAAGCGUUAAUCGGAAUUACCGGGCGUAAAGCGCACGCAGGCGGUUUGUUAAGUCAGAUGUGAAAUCCCCGGGCUCAACCUGGGAACUGCAUUUGAAACUGGCAAGCUAGAGUCUCGUAGAGGGGGGUAGAAUUCCAGGUGUAGCGGUGAAAUGCGUAGAGAUCUGGAGGAAUACCGGUGGCGAAGGCGGCCCCCUGGACGAAGACUGACGCUCAGGUGCG